UGGGGAAUAUUGGACAAUGGGGCAACCCUGAUCCAGCCAUGCCGCGUGAGUGAUGAAGGCCUUAGGGUUGUAAAGCUCUUUUAGCAGGGAAGAUAAUGACGGUACCUGCAGAAAAAGCCCCGGCUAACUUCGUGCCAGCAGCCGCGGUAAUACGAAGGGGGCUAGCGUUGCUCGGAAUUACUGGGCGUAAAGCGCACGUAGGCGGACUCUUAAGUCGGUGGUGAAAUCCUGGAGCUCAACUCCAGAACUGCCUUCGAUACUGGGAGUCUUGAGUUCGGGAGAGGUGAGUGGAACUGCGAGUGUAGAGGUGAAAUUCGUAGAUAUUCGCAAGAACACCAGUGGCGAAGGCGGCUCACUGGCCCGAUACUGACGCUGAGGUGCGAAAGCGUGGGGAGCAAACA
rnacentral:rRNA from 1 species